rnacentral:rRNA from 1 species
GCUGGCGGCGUGCCUAAUACAUGCAAGUCGAACGCACAGCGAAAGGUGCUUGCACCUUUCAAGUGAGUGGCGAACGGGUGAGUAACACGUGGACAACCUGCCUCAAGGCUGGGGAUAACAUUUGGAAACAGAUGCUAAUACCGAAUAAAACUUAGUGUCGCAUGACACAAAGUUAAAAGGCGCUUCGGCGUCACCUAGAGAUGGAUCCGCGGUGCAUUAGUUAGUUGGUGGGGUAAAGGCCUACCAAGACAAUGAUGCAUAGCCGAGUUGAGAGACUGAUCGGCCACAUUGGGACUGAGACACGGCCCAAACUCCUACGGGAGGCUGCAGUAGGGAAUCUUCCACAAUGGGCGAAAGCCUGAUGGAGCAACGCCGCGUGUGUGAUGAAGGCUUUCGGGUCGUAAAGCACUGUUGUAUGGGAAGAACAGCUAGAAUAGGAAAUGAUUUUAGUUUGACGGUACCAUACCAGAAAGGGACGGCUAAAUACGUGCCAGCAGCCGCGGUAAUACGUAUGUCCCGAGCGUUAUCCGGAUUUAUUGGGCGUAAAGCGAGCGCAGACGGUUUAUUAAGUCUGAUGUGAAAGCCCGGAGCUCAACUCCGGAAUGGCAUUGGAAACUGGUUAACUUGAGUGCAGUAGAGGUAAGUGGAACUCCAUGUGUAGCGGUGGAAUGCGUAGAUAUAUGGAAGAACACCAGUGGCGAAGGCGGCUUACUGGACUGCAACUGACGUUGAGGCUCGAAAGUGUGGGUAGCAACGUUUUUU